AACCCAUUUUGUUUGGGA
rnacentral:miRNA from 1 species